rnacentral:miRNA from 1 species
GACCAAUCGUCGCACAUAUUCG